UUUAAAUAUAAUUUAAGGGUAUAUAGAGAUUUGCUGUUAUAUGCUUAGUGUUAUGUAUUAAGGGUAAUUUAUUCUUUAAAAGCGAUGUACUUAAGUUAUAAUAUUUAGUUUAAAAUGUCAUCGAAAAUUGUAUUUUAGUAAAGUUUCCGCGUUGGUCGUUAUAUGUAGUUGAAUUUUUGAUCGAUUUAUUUGUACUAAUAUUAUAAGGCUGAAACUAUUGUUUGUUUAGACGUGCUAAUCUCACGAAUUAGUUCGAAUUGAUACUUUUUGUGUUGAUAGCCUAUUUAGCGAAGGCUAUAGGCUAUUUUUUCCUCAAAUUAACGCGUGUGAAAUUGCGGGGUAGAGCUCGUCUUACAUUCAAGCAAUAGGCGUUAAAUUAAACCACAGCUGACUUGCGAACUUUGUACCACCAUAUUUUCGUGAAUAUAUCGUUUUCUCCAUA